AGUAAGAUAAGCUAAGUUAAGCUAUUGGGUUCAUACCUCAAUUAUGAGAUAAAUCUCUCUUAUUA